rnacentral:lncRNA from 1 species
GAGGUAAAUAUUUCUGCAAAAAUCAAUAUUUUUCUUGCCUAUAAGCACAAAUCUUCAAGCCUCUUAGUCUAUCAUUACAACCCAUUUCUUGAUCUAGCACAAGUGGUAGCUAGAUCACCUUGAUACACAUGCAGUGUGUGCGUGUGCGUGUUGCUGAGUCCUUUUGAGCGAUAGUAUCUUUCUGAUUACUGAAGUUUUUUUCCUACUUCUUUUAUGAUCAAAUGUUUCUGCAUCUAGAUCAAGUGAUAGAUCAACUUAUUCUCUGAGCUAGAUUUGAAAAUUCUGGUUUCGAUCAACCAACUUUACCUCUUGAGAUAGACCAACAAAAUCAAAAGCCACUUGACACUUUUUUUUCUUUUCCUGAUGAUCUUUUCAAGACCCUAUUCAUGUUCUAAGCUUUUGUUCUCAAGAGAAAGUAACACAGAUUAAGGAAAUAUGAAUCCUAAAAACCCUUCUAGUUUUCUUCUGUUUGGUUAUACAUCUUGGGAUAAAUAUCAGUAUGGUUUUUAUUGCAGGUUGAAGCUGCUCCAUCAAUUCCUGAGACCGAGGUACCUAAGGUGACCAAGACUGAGGAGACAACAACAGAAACUGCACCACCUGCCUCUGAGCCAGUAGCUGAAGAGCCAACAGAAGCAGCACCCGCUGAUGCUCCAGCCGCAGAACCUGAAGCUGAACCUGCAGUUGAGGUUGAAACCAAGGAGGUUGUAGAAGAACCAGCAAAAACUGAGCCUGAAGAGGUUGCAGCCCCAGCAGCAGAAGAAACUCCUGAGGACAAGCCUGAAGAGACUGUUGCUGAGGAGACUGUUGCUAAGGAGACUGUUGUCGAAGAGACUAAAGAGGAGGCAGCACCGGCUCCUGUUGAGGAAGAGAAGCCAGCAGAAGAAGAGAAGCCAGCUGAGACACCAGCUGCAGAGACAACCACCACAGAAGUUCCUGUGGAGACUAAUGAGUGAAUAAACUGAUUCUAAGAAGUGAUUGAUACUAGUGGGGUGGGGUCUUUGUUUUUCUUUUAGGUUUCACUGUCAAAGUCCUCAGGUUUCUGUUUUGUUUCAUUUCUCUGUUUAUUGAUUUAUGAUUAUGGUUACAGAAAGGGUUUUGGAUGGGAUCAUGGGAUAUGGAAGCUAUAGAGUCGAUACUAAGCA